rnacentral:rRNA from 1 species
AUUGAACGCUGGCGGCAGGCCUAACACAUGCAAGUCGAACGGUAACAGGGAUCAGCUUGCUGAUUCGCUGACGAGUGGCGGACGGGUGAGUAAUGUCUGGGAAACUGCCUGAUGGAGGGGGAUAACUACUGGAAACGGUAGCUAAUACCGCAUAACGUCGCAAGACCAAAGAGGGGGACCUUCGGGCCUCUUGCCAUCGGAUGUGCCCAGAUGGGAUUAGCUAGUAGGUGGGGUAACGGCUCACCUAGGCGACGAUCCCUAGCUGGUCUGAGAGGAUGACCAGCCACACUGGAACUGAGACACGGUCCAGACUCCUACGGGAGGCAGCAGUGGGGAAUAUUGCACAGUGGGCGCAAGCCUGAUGCAGCCAUGCCGCGUGUAUGAAGAAGGCCUUCGGGUUGUAAAGUACUUUCAGCGGGGAGGAAGGGAGUAAAGUUAAGACCUUUGCUCAUUGACGUUACCCGCAGAAGAAGCACCGGCUAACUCCGU